CACGUAGGGGCGCAAGCGUUGUCCGGAAUUAUUGGGCGUAAAGAGCUCGUAGGCGGUCUGUCGCGUCGGCUGUGAAAACUCGGGGCUCAACCCCGAGCUUGCAGUCGAUACGGGCAGGCUAGAGUUCGGCAGGGGAGACUGGAAUUCCUGGUGUAGCGGUGAAAUGCGCAGAUAUCAGGAGGAACACCGGCGGCGAAGGCGGGUCUCUGGGCCGAUACUGACGCUGAGGAGCGAAAGCGUGGGGAGCGAACAGG
rnacentral:rRNA from 1 species